rnacentral:rRNA from 1 species
GACGAACGCUGGCGGCGUGCCUAAUACAUGCAAGUAGAACGCUGAAGGAGGAGCUUGCUUCUCUGGAUGAGUUGCGAACGGGUGAGUAACGCGUAGGUAACCUGCCUGGUAGCGGGGGAUAACUAUUGGAAACGAUAGCUAAUACCGCAUAAGAGUAGAUGUUGCAUGACAUUUGCUUAAAAGGUGCAAUUGCAUCACUACCAGAUGGACCUGCGUUGUAUUAGCUAGUUGGUGAGGUAACGGCUCACCAAGGCAACGAUACAUAGCCGACCUGAGAGGGGGAUCGGCCACACUGGGACUGAGACACGGCCCAGACUCCUACGGGAGGCAGCAGUAGGGAAUCUUCGGCAAUGGACGGAAGUCUGACCGAGCAACGCCGCGUGAGUGAAGAAGGUUUUCGGAUCGUAAAGCUCUGUUGUAAGAGAAGAACGAGUGUGAGAGUGGAAAGUUCACACUGUGACGGUAUCUUACCAGAAAGGGACGGCUAACUACGU